UUGAUUUUUGAACCUCACGCCCAAUACCCCGAUACCCCAAACUCUCCCUCCCAAGUUCCAAGCAAAGAGAGAAACCAUUGCUUCUGAGAUAGCUCAUGGGAGCUGAUACAUGGGAUGCGUUAUAAGAUCUAACUCCUUCCCUCUUUGAUUUGUUUCUAUUUUCUUCUCUUCCUUAAUUUCAUCUUUUCUUCACAGUAUUCUUACCUUUCAGAAAAAAAUAAUAAAUUACCAGCAGAAACAGAGGCAAAGAGAGAGAGAAAAGAGAAGAGAGAUGGGAAGUAUGGGGUGAUCCUAGACGCUGGGGUGAGGAUCGUAGUUCGCUUUCAUUCUCACUGCCCUCAGACAGCCAGGAUGUAAUACCACCCUCCGUCCAUCCCUGACGACAACCACCACCACCAAGACAACCUCUCUCAUAGCGACGGCGGCGCCACCAUCACCGAGAAAGACAUGGCUCUUAAAGUCUCGCCCAGGUUGGGUAGCUCCGAACACGUCAUAAUUUUAAAGGGAAUUGGAUGAGAAUUGAAGAAGUUGGAAUUGAAGACGAGCCAAAUCUGCAUUAAGUCCCCCAAAAUCAUGGUAUAAUAUCAAGGAAGAAAUGCAAGGCUCAAACGACAAUAGGCUAUGCACUAACAUAGAGGAUCGGAGGCUAUUGUUGUUGUUGUUGUUGUUGUUCGUAGGCUUCGAAGAACAAAUCCCCCUUUCUUCUAUUCACAUCGUCGUUGUUGUUGCUGCUAUUGUUCAUAGGCUAUGAUGAACAAAUCCACCUACGAAAUCGUCACCUGCUAGACGUAUGCUUGAAGAACAAAUCCAACUCCCAAAUCAUCACUUGCUAGACGUAUGUUUGCCUUCAAGGAUUUCAACCUUAAAACCCUAAAUCGAUCAAAGGAGAAUGCUUCUGUGAUGUGCUGAAUUCCCUAAAUUGCGUUGGAGGAGAAGGGAGUUUCACUAUCGGAGAUGAAGGUGGAGAAGGGGUGUUCAUCUAUCGCAUGGAUGAGAUUUUUUACCUCAUAGAGGAAAAUAUCAAGUUUCUUUUAAAAAAGUUCAACAAUGCCACGUCAUCACUUGACGUUUGGGAGCUGACAGAAUGAAUGUAAGAGACAUUAUUUCUUCAAAAUAGA